rnacentral:sRNA from 1 species
AGCAGCCGCGGUAAUUCCAGCUCCAAUAGCGUAUAUUAAAGUUGUUGCAGUUAAAAAGCUCGUAGUUGAAUUUCGGGGUCAGUAGGUUGGUCGUGCCACAGGUAUGAACUGGCCUCACUGAUUCCUCCUUCCUGAUGAACCGUAAUGCCAUUAAUUUGGUGUUGCGGGGAGACUGGACUGUUACUUUGAAAAAAUUAGAGUGUUUAAAGCAGGCUAACGCUUGAAUACAUUAGCAUGGAAUAAUGAAAUAGGACGUUCGGUCUUAUUUUGUUGGUUUCUAAGAUUGACGUAAUGAUUAAUAGGGAUAGUUGGGGGCAUUAGUAUUCAAUUGUCAGAGGUGAAAUUCUUGGAUUUAUUGAAGACUAACUACUGCGAAAGCAUUUGCCAAGGAUGUUUUCAUUAAUCAAGAACGAAAGUUAGGGGAUCGAAGACGAUCAGAUACCGUCGUAGUCUUAACCAUAAACUAUGCCGACUAGGGAUCGGAUGAUGUUAAUUUUUUAAUGACUCAUUCGGCGCCUUA